GAACAUUGUGUUUUGAAUGUGUUGAAUGAAAAGUUAAAGAGAUCUAAAUUACGUCAUUAGAUAAGGUCAUUACCGGAGGAACGAGCUACGCAAGGAACUUGGGCACUUUAGAAACAAUAGAAACAUGCCUGUACAUCUGCACUCCGCUUUUAAGAGAGCUCAAAGAAAACAAGGGAAAUUGGACGUCGCUUGUUUUCAGUAGAGACACUGACAUUUUACACUCGUUAAGUUAGUUUUCUUGCUCCGUGUAUACGAUGGACUCUCACAAAGCGCCCAUGUGAAUGACGAGCGAAGCGCGAUGCGACCGCGAAACAACCCCAAUAACAUUCGCCCUGAAGAAAAACCCUUGCAGGGUCUGAAAGUGGUCGGCUGUCACCGAAAAAAAAGACGUACACUGGACCUCUACAACUCAUCACGGCAACGAGCAACUUCUACCAUAAUCAGUAACCAGUUCGACAGAGAAAGCUAUAGUUAUACACCAAGGAGUAAACGAGACAGUAACAUCAAUAUUCAUUCAAGCAGAAGUAGACGAAGAUAGACUUAACGAGCCGUUGAUAGGUGCGAAAGGGAGGUGCGACGGUCUGGGUGGCCACCCCCCACAGUUGGUGGAUGGCCAUAAAAAUGAGUAUAAAAUUGAAACAUCAAUAUAAUAAGCAAUCAACGUGGCCCAAGCCGGACCUAAUUAUACAGGGCGAGCUUACGUUAUAAAUUACCUUAUACCAAACAUACAGAUUGAUCCAAAAUCGAAUUGCCUUGUUGUCGAUUUCCUGAUAACAACUGCAUAUUUUGUAUUCCCAUCACGAUACGUAAUGAGUUCACAAUUAGCGCCACAAGAAGAUAUCAAAUGCAAUCUGUUGCUAUUCUUAUAUUUGA